GCCAGGAAGGAGGAGGCAGCCAGAGUGGCCACCACUGGCCUCUGCAGCAGAAGACCCCCUGCUGCCAGGUUCCAGAUGGUGUCACUUGGAGAUAGUUGCUCUUUGAAAUGAGAGCUCUUAUAUGGCUGAAGACCCUGAAGAUGUACCUGUUUUCCCAGGGCUUUAAUUGAAUUUUAAAUUUUAAUAUGUUUAUACUCAUUGAGAUUUUUAUCUGUUUUAUGCAUUUUAAUUGUUUUAUAUUGUUUUUAUAUUUUGUUUUAAUUAUACACUACAUGGAGAUUUCUAUAUCAGGUGUUAUAGAAAUAUGAUCAAUUGAUUGAUCAAUCAAUCAAUCAGUCAGUCAAUCAAUCAAUAAAAGUCCCCAUUGCUGGUCUAUUAUUAGAGCAAGUCAGAUCCACAGCAGGCCAGAUCUCUGGAGCUUGGUAAGGAUUGUGUCUAAUAGGCAUGGGCUGAUUUUGAUUUAUUUGUCCCUAGUUGUCUCAACAUGACUGAGUGAGUUGGGAAGGAGUGGAAAUGCUGUUUUUAUUGGGGUCUUAGUUUUUCCUACUCUCCAGUUUCCUUUUUUGGCACAUCAGAUGCCUAUAUUGAUUAAGUUUGGACAUUUUGCAGUUGUACUAUUUUAAUAUAUAGGCCGGGUUGUUGCCUGUGCCCUUCUAUACCCACAA